AACCUAGCACACCUGCGGUGUGUACCUGCGGAAGGAUCAUUACCGAGUUUACAACUCCCAAACCCCUGUGAACAUACCACUUGUUGCCUCGGCGGAUCAGCCCGCUCCCGGUAAAACGGGACGGCCCGCCAGAGGACCCCUAAACUCUGUUUCUAUAUGUAACUUCUGAGUAAAACCAUAAAUAAAUCAAAACUUUUAGCAAUGGAUCU
rnacentral:misc_RNA from 1 species